GACGAACGCUGGCGGCGUGCUUAACACAUGCGAGUCGAGCGGAAAGGCCCUUUCGGGGGUACUCGAGCGGCGAACGGGUGAGUAACACGUGAGUAACCUGCCUUCAGCUUCGGGAUAACCCCGAGAAAUCGGGGCUAAUACCGGGUGUUCACAGUGUCCCGCAUGGGGCUGUUGUGGAAAGGGUUUUACCGGCUGGGGAUGGGCUCGCGGCCUAUCAGCUUGUUGGUGGGGUAGUGGCCUACCAAGGCGACGACGGGUAGCCGGCCUGAGAGGGCAACCGGCCACACCGGGACUGAGACACGGCCCAGACUCCUACGGGAGGCAGCAGUGGGGAAUAUUGCGCAAUGGGCGGAAGCCUGACGCAGCGACGCCGCGUGGGGGAUGACGGCCUUCGGGUUGUAAACCUCUUUCAGCAGGGACGAAGGGUGACUGACGGUACCUGCAGAAGAAGCUCCGGCUAACUACGUGCCAGCCGCCGCGGUAA
rnacentral:rRNA from 1 species